GCCCGGCUAGCUCAGUCGGUAGAGCAUGAGACUCUUAAUCUCAGGGUCGUGGGUUCGAGACUUCGAGCCCCACGUUGGGCG